AUACGGAGGGUGCAAGCGUUGUUCGGAAUCACUGGGCGUAAAGGGCGCGCAGGCGGUUUGGUAAGUCAGAUGUGAAAGCCCAUGGCUCAACCAUGGAAGUGCAUUUGAAACUGUCAGACUUGAGUACUAGAGGGGAAAGUGGAAUUCCCGGUGUAGAGGUGAAAUUCGUAGAUAUCAGGAGGAAUACCGGUGGCGAAGGCGACUUUCUGGCUAGAUACUGACGCUGAGGCGCGAAAGCGUGGGGAGCAAACAGGAUUAGAUACCCCAGUAGUCC
rnacentral:rRNA from 1 species